GGUUGGCCAGGCUGAACCGCAGAGUUCUAAUCGAACUGCAGCCUUUUCCUGGCGCUCUCCGCUCGCACUGAGGACGCCAUGAGCUGGCUCUUAUUCUUGGCUGGUCCUGGCAGGAUCGCAAUGAACAGACGACUCCCCGAGCACUCGGUGUUUAACCAUGGGAGCAGGCUUGCCAGAAACUGACUUUGGAUUUGGGGGAUAGAAAGAACUGAAGAAAAAUUUGAGACAUCAUAUAAUUUGUGAUAUGAAUGCAAGCAACAACACUAAGUAAAACAACUAGAAUGGCAUGUAAUCCAAGAUGAAC
rnacentral:lncRNA from 1 species